GGGUGUGAUCAUAUUAGCGUUAAUGCACUGGAUCUCAUUAGAACUCCGUAGUUAAGCAUGCUUGGGCUAGAGUAGUAUUGGGAUGGGUGACCUCCCGAGAAGUCGUAGUGUUGCACCCU
rnacentral:rRNA from 1 species